AGCCCGUGUUCUGGUACUACGUGAAGGAGGUCCUCAACAAGCACGAGCUGCAGCGCUUCUACUCCCUGCGCCACAUCGCCUCAGACGUGGGCCGGGGCCGCGCCUGGCUGCGCUGUGCCCUCAACGAACACUCCCUGGAGCGCUACCUGCACAUGCUCCUGGCCGACCGCUGCAGGCUGAGCACUUUUUAUGAAGACUGGUCUUUUGUGAUGGAUGAAGAAAGGUCCAGUAUGCUUCCUACCAUGGCAGCAGGUCUGAACUCCAUACUCUUUGCGAUUAACAUCGACAACAAGGAUUUGAACGGGCAGAGUAAGUUUGCUCCCACCGUUUCAGACCUCUUAAAGGAGUCAACGCAGAACAUGACCUCCUUGCUGAAGGAGUCCACGCAAGGAGUGAGCAGCCUGUUCAGGGAGAUCACAGCCUCCUCUGCCGUCUCCAUCCUCAUCAAACCUGAACAGGAGACCGACCCCUUGCCUGUCGUGUCCAGAAAUGUCAGUGCUGAUGCCAAAAGCAAAAAGGAGCGGAAGAAGAAAAAGAAAGUGACCAACAUAAUCUCAUUUGAUGAUGAGGAAGAUGAGCAGAACUCUGGGGACGUGUUUAAAAAGACACCUGGGGCAGGGGAGAGCUCAGAGGACAACUCCGACCGCUCCUCUGUCAAUAUUAUGUCCGCCUUUGAAAGCCCCUUCGGGCCUAACUCCAAUGGAAGUCAGAGCAGCAACUCAUGGAAAAUUGAUUCCCUGUCUUUGAACGGGGAGUUUGGGUACCAGAAGCUUGAUGUGAAAAGCAUCGAUGAUGAAGAUGUGGAUGAAAACGAAGAUGACGUGUAUGGAAACUCAUCAGGAAGGAAGCACAGGGGCCACUCAGAGUCACCCGAGAA
rnacentral:sRNA from 1 species